rnacentral:lncRNA from 1 species
CUUGCUGACUCUUCAUGUAGGCUGUCUCCUCCAUCCCUCACUUCCAUAGGCGUGCGCACGGGGUGUGUUGGGUGUGCCUGGGCACACCCUAAUCCCUGCGGCACACCAAUGGAUUGAGACCGGCAGGGGAGAUCUCUGGAUCUCCCAGGUCGGCUCAUGCAGAGCCGACGCUAUCCGAGCGGCGGCUCUGGUCUAAGCCUCCAUGGGCCGGUGGGGAGAUCAAAGUUCUACCUCACCGGUCCACAGCAGCAUGGAGGGAGGCAGCAGAGAACCCGGGCUAGAGUUCACUCUCCACUGAACCACCAGGGAAGGCAGCAGGACUGGGAUAUUAACUAAUCUGCCCCCACUUCCACCCAAACAUACAGCACACACACACACAGC